rnacentral:lncRNA from 1 species
GCAAAAGUUGCGGCCGUAGCUGUAGGAUCAAUUUCUUUAAUAAUGCCUACGGGCAAAGUACUUAUGUUGGAUGAUUGUUAUUACGUUCCUAAAUUUGAUUUGAACAUAAUUUCAGCUUCUAUGUUAGACAAACGUGGUUUUCGCAUAAAUAUAGACAAUGGUGUUUGCUCUAUUUAUUAUAGUGAUAAUUUAUAUGUGAAUGGCUAUCUUCAACAUGAUGUUUAUGUCUUACCUAGUGUAAAUGCUAAUUCGAUUAUGCGUGUUUCAAGUCUUAAGAGGAAAAGAGAUGAUCAUGUAAAUCAA